AAAAUGAAGUGACAUCUUAUUGACUUGUGUUUUCCCAGCUAUCACUAAGACGCGGUUUACAUCCUGUUGGGACCACCGAGGAACGCCUGGCAAAAAAAAUAAAAAGAUCCCUCCUAAAACCGUUUCCUCAACCUACGUGGGCCGCCACCAGAGGUGAUACAGCAAAGCAAACAAGCAGGUGGAGGGAGCGCCAAGAGAACAUCCUUAAUGUUGGAAGGAGGCGUGGCCACAACAAUCGCUCAGGAAGACAGUCCAAACACAACCUGCCCUCCAUGAAACCAAAAUAAAAGUUUCCACCUUUUAUUUUUUGCCUCCCUCUUCUCUCCUCUGUCUGAUGUCAUGUUUUUGUUUGGGAUGUGUGGUGGAUACAAGCCCAAUGUAGAUAAAAUAAGUUUCCAUGGAGACAAAUGGUGGACAAUAAAUUGCAAAAUGAAACAAUAAAUCGAAGGGAAAG